GUGACCCCAUAGAGUUCCAUAGAGACCCCAUAACAGUCCCAUAACGACCUCAUUGGGGCCCAUAGGGACCCCAUCGAGCCCCAUAGUGGCACCGUAGAGCCCCACAGUGACCCCAUAGAGCCCCACAGGGACCCCAGAGAGCUCCACAGUGACCCCAUAACAGCCCCAUAGUGACCUCAUUGGGGCCCAUAGGGACCCCGUAGAGCCCCAUAGGGGCCCAAUAACAGCCCUACAGAGACCCCAUAGAGCCCUAUAGUGAUCCCAUCGAGCCCCACAGUGACCCCAUAGAGCCCCAUAGUGACCCCAUAGAGCCCCAUAGGGACCCCAUACAGUCCCAUAGGGACCCCAUAGAGCCCCACAGGGACUCCAUAGAGCCACAUAGUGACCCCAUAGAGGCCCAUAAUGACCCCAUUAGGGCCCAUAGGGACCCCAUAGAGCCCCAUAGUGACCCCAUAGAGCCCCACAGUGACCCAAUAGAGCCACACAGUGACCCCAUAGAGCCCCAUAGUGACACCAGAACUGCCCCAUAGUGACCCCAUAGAGUUCCAUAGAGACCCCAUUACAGCCCCAUAGUGACCCCAUAGAGCCCCACAGUGACCCCAUAACUGCCCCAUAAUGACCCCAUUAGGGCCCAUAGGGACCCCAUAGAGCCCCAUUGUGACCUCAUUGGGGCCCAUAGUGACCCAAUAGAGCCACACAGUGACCCCAUAGAGCCCCAUAGUGAACAAAUAGAGCCCCAUGGUGACCCCAUAGAGUUCCAUAGAGACCCCAUAACAGUCCCAUAAUGACCUCAUUGGGGCCCAUAGGGACCCCAUCGAGCCCCAUAGUGGCACCAUAGAGCCCCACAGUGACCCCUUAGAGCCCCACAGGGACCCCAGAGAGCUCCACAGUGACCCCAUAACAGCCCCAUAGUGACCUCAUUGGGGCCCAUAGGGACCCCGUAGAGCCCCAUAGGGACCCAAUAACAGCCCUACAGUGACCCCAUAGAGCCCUAUAGUGAUCCCAUCGAGCCCCACAGUGACCCCAUAGAGCCCCAUAGUGACCCCAUAGAGCUCCAUAGAGACGCUAUAACAGCCCCAUAGGGACCCCAUAGAGCUCCUUAGUGACCCCAUAGAGCCCCACAGUGUCCCCAUAGAGUCCCAUAGUGACCCCAUAACUUCCCCACAGUGACCCCAUAGAGCCCCAUAGGGACCCCAGAGAGCUCCGUAAUGACCCCAUAGAGCUCCACAGUGACCCCAUAACUGCCCCAUAAUGACCCCAUUAGGGCCCAUAGGGACCCCAUAGAGCCCCAUUGUGACCCCAUAGAGCCCCAUAGGGACCCCAUAGAGCACCCUAGGGACCCCAUAACAGCCCUAUAGCGACCCCAUUGAGCUCCACAAUGACCCCAUAAAGCCCCACAGUGACCCCAUAGAGCCCCAUAGGGACCCCAAAGAGCUCCAUAAUGACCCCAUAACUGCCCCAUAGCGACCCCAUAGGGUUCCAUAGAGACCCUAUAACAGCCCCAUAGAGACCUCAUUGGUGCCCAUAGGGACCCCAUAGAGCCCCAUAGGGACCCCAGAGAGUUCUGUAAUGACCCCAUAGAGCCCGAGAGUGACCCCAUAGAGCUCCACGGUGACCCCAUAGAACCCCACAGUGUCCCCAUAGAGCCCCAUAGGGACCCCAUAGAGCCCCAUAGUGACCCCAUAGAGCUCCAUAAUGACCCAAUCACAGCCGCAUAGUGACCCCGUAGAGCCCCAUAGGGACCCCAUAGAGCCCCAUAGUGACCCCGUAGAGCCCCAUAGGGACCCCAUAACAGCCCCAUAGCGACCCCAUAGAGCUCAAAAGGGACCCCAUAUACCUCCAUAGUAACCCCAUAGAGCUCCACGGUGACCCCAUAACAGCCCCAUAGUGACCCCAUAGAGCCCCAGAGUGACCCCAUAGAGCCCCACAAUGACCCCAUAGAGCCCCAUAGGGACUCCAUAGAGCCACAUAGUGACCCCAUAGAGGCCCAUAAUGACCCCAUUAGGGCCCAUAGGGACCCCAUAGAGCCCCAUAGUGACCCCAUAGAGCCCCACAGUGACCCAAUAGAGCCACACAGUGACCCCAUAGAGCCCCAUAGUGACACCAGAACUGCCCCAUAGUGACCCCAUAGAGUUCCAUAGAGACCCCAUUACAGCCCCAUAGUGACCCCAUAGAGCCCCACAGUGACCCCAUAACUGCCCCAUAAUGACCCCAUUAGGGCCCAUAGGGACCCCAUAGAGCCCCAUUGUGACCUCAUUGGGGCCCAUAGUGACCCAAUAGAGCCACACAGUGACCCCAUAGAGCCCCAUAGUGAAC
ensembl:lncRNA